AUGAACGCUGGCGGCGUGCCUAAUACAUGCAAGUCGAGCGAACAGACGAGGAGCUUGCUCCUCUGACGUUAGCGGCGGACGGGUGAGUAACACGUGGAUAACCUACCUAUAAGACUGGGAUAACUUCGGGAAACCGGAGCUAAUACCGGAUAAUAUAUUGAACCGCAUGGUUCAAUAGUGAAAGACGGUUUUGCUGUCACUUAUAGAUGGAUCCGCGCCGCAUUAGCUAGUUGGUAAGGUAACGGCUUACCAAGGCGACGAUGCGUAGCCGACCUGAGAGGGUGAUCGGCCACACUGGAACUGAGACACGGUCCAGACUCCUAAGGGAGGCCGCAGUAGGGAAUCUUCCGCAAUGGGCGAAAGCCUGACGGAGCAACGCCGCGUGAGUGAUGAAGGUCUUCGGAUCGUAAAACUCUGUUAUUAGGGAAGAACAAAUGUGUAAGUAACUAUGCACGUCUUGACGGUACCUAAUCAGAAAGCCACGGCUAACUACGUG
rnacentral:rRNA from 1 species